GAUGAAGAACACAGCGAAAUGCGAUACUUGGUGUGAAUUGCAGAAUCCCGUGAACCAUCGAGUCUUUGAACGCAAGUUGCGCCCGAAGCCAUUAGGCCGAGGGCACGCCUGCCUGGGCGUCACACGUCGUUGCCCCCCCAUCUACUCCUUCGGGAUUGCGGGGGGCGGAUGAUGGCCUCCCGUGCGCCUCGUCGCGCGGUUGGCAUAAAUGCCAAGUCCUCGGCGACGCACGCCACGACAAUCGGUGGUUGCGAAACCUCGGUUGCCCGUCGUGUGCGGUCGUCGCGCAUCGAGGGCUCGAAAAAAUUGCCGGGCUCCGGCUCGGCUUUCAACGCGACCCCAGGUCAGGCGGGGUUACCCGCUGAAUUUAAGCAUAUCAAUAAGCGGAGGA
rnacentral:misc_RNA from 1 species